rnacentral:pre_miRNA from 1 species
ACAACAAUCGGAUCGCCGGUCUACCGAGCAAUAUCACCCGCUCGGUGGAAGAUCUUCUCUUCGUCGU